GCGUUGAGACACCGGUUCCCGUAAGAUCACGGAAGUUAAGCAACAUUGAGCCUGGUCAGUACCAAGAUGGAGCACAGCUUGGGAACAACAGGUG